rnacentral:rRNA from 1 species
GGCGAACGCUGGCGGCGUGCUUAACACAUGCAAGUCGAACGGUGAAGCGCCUUCCUUUUUGGUGGGUGUGGAUGAGUGGCGAACGGGUGAGUAACACGUGAGUAACCUGCCCCCUUCUUCUGGAUAACCGCAUGAAAGUGUGGCUAAUACGGGAUAUUCUGGGUCUGUCGCAUGAUGGGUCUGGGAAAGAUAUUGUUUCGGUGGGGGAUGGGCUCGCGGCCUAUCAGCUUGUUGGUGGGGUGAUGGCCUACCAAGGCGGUGACGGGUAGCCGGCCUGAGAGGGUGGACGGUCACACUGGGACUGAGACACGGCCCAGACUCCUACGGGAGGCAGCAGUGGGGAAUAUUGCACAACGGGCGCAAGCCUGAUGCAGCGACGCCGCGUGAGGGAUGGAGGCCUUCGGGUUGUGAACCUCUUUCGCCAGUGAAGCAGGCCUGCCUCGUUUGUGGGUGGGUUGACGGUAGCUGGAUAAGAAGCGCCGGCUAACUACGUG